GACGAACGCUGGCGGCGUGCUUAACACAUGCAAGUCGAACGCUGAAGCUCAGCUUUUGUUGGGUGGAUGAGUGGCGAACGGGUGAGUAACACGUGAGUAACCUGCCCCCUUCUUUGGGAUAACGCCCGGAAACGGGUGCUAAUACUGGAUAUUCACUGGUCUUCGCAUGGGGGCUGGUGGAAAGGGUUUUUCUGGUGGGGGAUGGGCUCGCGGCCUAUCAGCUUGUUGGUGGGGUGAUGGCCUACCAAGGCUUUGACGGGUAGCCGGCCUGAGAGGGUGACCGGUCACAUUGGGACGGAGAUACGGCCCAGACUCCUACGGGAGGCAGCAGUGGGGAAUAUUGCACAAUGGGCGCAAGCCUGAUGCAGCGACGCCGCGUGAGGGAUGGAGGCCUUCGGGUUGUGAACCUCUUUCGCUCAUGGUCAAGCCGCAACAAUGGUUGUGGUGAGGGUAGUGGGUAAAGAAGCGCCGGCUAACUACGUG
rnacentral:rRNA from 1 species